GUCAUUCAUGAGAGCAGAUGAAGAAAGCUGGGGAUACUGGAUUCCAGUAUCCCCAGCUUUCUUCAUCUGCUCUCAUGUCAUUC
rnacentral:pre_miRNA from 1 species